GACGUAGGGCGCGAGCGUUGUCCGGAUUUAUUGGGCGUAAAGAGCUCGUAGGCGGCUUGUCGCGUCGGCUGUGAAAACCCGCGGCUCAACUGUGGGCGGGCAGCUGAUACGGGCAGGCUGGAGUUCGGUAGGGGAGAAUGGAAUUCCUGGUGUAGCGGUGAAAUGCGCAGAUAUCAGGAAGAACACCCGUGGCGAAGGCGGUUCUCUGGGACGGUACUGACGCUGGAGACGCGAAAGCGUGGGGAGCGAACAGG
rnacentral:rRNA from 1 species